CAAUUCUGAAGAGGAUGUGAAUUGCUUGGUUUAAUCCACAGUGAAGAUGGUGGUGACAGGCCUCAGGCUGAAGACCCAGCGCUGGGAGGGCAGCCAAUACAGAAUUAAUGCUGCUCAGCUUCCCUAGUGAGGUCUGCACUAAUAUGUUGAUUUUUAAAAAGCAUACUACUCUAAAAGAGCGAAGUAAUUGAGACUCACAAGGUCUGCGCUGCAACAGAAGAUCCCUGGAUUCUCUCAAACUCCCUGGAGAACGAUUGGCAUUCACUGGCAACCAGUCUUGUUGCACAGGAACUAGCAACAAAGAAGAAGGACCCUAUAGUCUACGACUCGGGUACAUUUACUUGGAGAGAAAUUUUUCAAUGGUCAGUAUUCUGAAAGUCAAGCUGAAACAUAGAUAAAACAAUGUCUGCUAAUACGCAUUUCUUUUCCAAAUUAAGUAAAAUUCCACUUUAAAACAUGAUCGUAUUAACGGGCAAAUAAUGCUCCAAAGUUGUGUUUACUUGCAUUUAAGCAGAAAUAUCUAUUUUGCUGAAUUUCAUAACUAAAAUCAAAUUAUUGUGUUGUUUUAUUUUUGCUUAUCUAGUUGAAUAUAAACAUGUCUUCUCC
rnacentral:lncRNA from 1 species